UACAGAGGGUGCGAGCGUUGUUCGGAAUUAUUGGGCGUAAAGGGCGCGUAGGCGGUGCGGUAAGUCACCUGUGAAAUCUCCUGGCUCAACUGGGAGCUUGCAGGCGAAACUGCCGUGCUGGAGUGUGGGAGAGGUGCGUGGAAUUCCUGGUGGUAGCGGUGAAAUGCGUAGAUAUCAGGAGGAACACCUGUGGCGAAAGCGGCGCACUGGACCACAACUGACGCUGAGGCGCGAAAGCUAGGGGAGCAAACAGG
rnacentral:rRNA from 1 species